GAUGAACGCUGGCUACAGGCUUAACACAUGCAAGUCGUGGGGAAACGGCAUUAUGUGCUUGCACAUUCUGGACGUCGACCGGCGCACGGGUGAGUAUCGCGUAUCCAACCUGCCCCUUACUUGGGGAUACCCCGUUGAAAGACGGCCUAAUACCCGAUGUGUUUCAUUGACGGCAUCCGAUAUGAAACAAAGGUUUUCCGGUAAGGGAUGGGGAUGCGUCUGAUUAGCUUGUUGGCGGGGCAACGGCCCACCAAGGCGACGAUCAGUAGGGGUUCUGAGAGGAAGGUCCCCCACAUUGGAACUGAGACACGGUCCAAACUCCUACGGGAGGCAGCAGUGAGGAAUAUUGGUCAAUGGACGCAAGUCUGAACCAGCCAAGUAGCGUGCAGGAUGACGGCCCUAUGGGUUGUAAACUGCUUUUAUGUGGGAAUAAAGUGGCGCACGUGUGCGCCAUUGCAUGUACCUCAUGAAUAAGGACGG
rnacentral:rRNA from 1 species